CGGGCCCCGCGCCCGCCGACGGCCCCCCUGAACGCUGUCUGAAGUUGCAGUCUGAGACCUAUAACGAAAUUAGUUAAAACUUUCAACAACGGAUCUCUUGGUUCCGGCAUCGAU
rnacentral:misc_RNA from 1 species